rnacentral:rRNA from 1 species
AUUGAAAGCUGGCGGCAGACCUAACACAUGCAAGUCGAGCGAGCGGCGGACGGGUGAGUAAUGUCUGGGAAACUGCCUGAUGGAGGGGGAUAACUACUGGAAACGGUAGCUAAUACCGCAUACCAUCAGAUGUGCCCAGAUGGGAUUGGCUAGUAGGUGGGGUAACGGCUCACCUAGGCGACGAUCCCUAGCUGGUCUGAGAGGAUGACCAGCCACACUGGAACUGAGACACGGUCCAGACUCCUACGGGAGGGAGCAGUGGGGAAUAUUGCACAAUGGGCGCAAGCCUGAUGCAGCCAUGCCGCGUGUGUGAAGAAGGCCUUCGGGUUGUAAAGCACUUUCAGCGGGGAGGAGUUACCCGGAGAAGAAGCACCGGCUAACUCCAUGCCAGCAGCCGCGGUAAUAC